CUCCCAAGAUUCAGCCGUAGAAGAAACUGAAGUAUGCUAAAAUGCUAACGCUAAUUACUAGGUUUACUGUUGUGCUGUUUUAAUGUCAAACAAACUAAAGGAUAAAUCACGGCACAGCUGUUAAUUGAAGCCAUGUUGGCGUCUGUGUGAACAUGCGGGGACCAGGCUCCUUGCGAUAAAUGAGAGGGAAGUUCGGGGCAAGACCUGCUAUUCCUCAGAGGCGACGAGAGGAAGGUCCAUUUUCAGAGAUCUGCGGGAGUCAGCGGAGUUUAGUCACACGGCGACGGUGCGUUUGUUUUUUCUCGCAGCACAUUCGAUGUGCGUUUCACUGCUGCGCGUUAACUGCGUACGCUUCACACCAUUCGUCCACGUCUAAGUCUGGUCUAAAGCUGUCAGAAGACGGCGAAAAAUCAUUUUUUUAAUGACGAGCGAGUCUACGUGCAUGUGGCCGCCCGUCAAUGCAGAACAGGUACAACAAACGAGCGCUCAGCUACUGCUUAGAAAAUGGGCCUGUCCACGCGUGGUCGAGCUUUUCCAAUCAGCGUCCGGAUCCGAGGAGCCGCCUCCAGCGCUGCCCGGCGCACGGCGAUGACGCACCGUGUGGAAAACGUGCAUUCUUUGUUUUUUGUUUAUAACUGCAUAAUAAAUACUUUAGCUCCGUGUGUGUGUUUAAACCUGCCCCUCCAGUAAAACCCGUGUCUUCCGACUGCUAGUUUACGUUUGUUGUUUAGUAAGUGUUUACCUGGUACAAAGGGUUUAUAGACACGUGUGUAACUUUUAUCAUCCUUUAUGUGGUUCUAAUUACAACGGGCGUAAUUAGUAAACUUUACAUUACCAUCAUUUAAUGAUAUGUUUCUGUUGCUGCAUAUAAUGAAAUCUAAAGGCGUUCAGAUAAUCAGCCUUUUUGCCCCGAGGUUCCACUUUAAUUGUUACAGUACUACUACUAAUACCUGUUACUAUCAACUAUAACAACAUCUGGAGGUAUUUUCUAGUUCAGUUUAGUUUUCUGUGUGUCCACGUGUCUGUCUGCUUCAGUGUCCACGUGUCUGUCUGCUUCAGUGUCCAUGUAGGGGAGGUCUGGGGUCCCCAGCCGAGGCCCCUUUUCCCCUUGUGACCUGGCCUUGGAAACAGAGCGAGGCGAAUGGAUGCAUGGAUUAACCUCAGGACUAGAAAACACAUUUCCAGAAAUGUUGAAAGUUUUUAAAUGUAAAAUAUAAGAGAAGUGCAACAGGAAAGAUGUUGUUUGGAUAACGGCUCAUAUUGCUCUAAAACCUGUGUAUUCUAUGCAGCGUUAUUGGAGCUUCACAGGUGAAUGCGUCUCUCAAACUCAGUUUACUGAGAUUCCACACUUUUGAACAGUGGCCUUCAGCUCCGUGGAAGAGUGUUAACAAUCAUUACCUACAUUUCAGAAGUUACAGUUUACUGACAGUGGUUUUCUGAGACCUUGCAGUUAUGAUAGAUUGACUGAUUGAUUGAUUAAUUGAUUGAUUGACUGAUGAUUACAAAUAG